UUUCGCAAUGCCCGAAAGGGUGACGAAGCGACGCCGCGUGGGUGAGGAAGGCCUUCGGGUUGUAAAGCCCUGUCAGGAGUUAAGAAAUGUAGAUUCGUUAAUACCGGGUCUAUUUGACAAAGGCUCCAAAGGAAGCCACGGCUAACUCUGUGCCAGCAGCCGCGGUAAUACAGAGGUGGCAAGCGUUGUUCGGAAUUAUUGGGCGUAAAGAGCACGUAGGUGGAUUUGUUAGUCAGAUGUGAAAGCCUUUCGUUCAACGGAAGAAUUGCAUCUGAAACUACAAACCUUGAGUAUAGGAGGGGAGAAUGGAACUUCUGGUGGAGCGGUGAAAUGCGUAGAUAUCAGAAGGAACGCCGGCGGCGAAAGCGACUCUCUGGCCUAUAACUGACACUGAGUGUGCGAAAGCUAGGGGAGCAAACGGGAUUAGAUACCCCGGUAGUCCUAGCCGUAAACGACGGGCACUAAGUAGAGGGGUUUU
rnacentral:rRNA from 1 species